UACGGAGGAUCCGAGCGUUAUCCGGAUUUAUUGGGUUUAAAGGGAGCGUAGGCGGGUUGUUAAGUCAGUUGUGAAAGUUUGCGGCUCAACCGUAAAAUUGCAGUUGAUACUGGCAUCCUUGAGUACAGUAGAGGUAGGCGGAAUUCGUGGUGUAGCGGUGAAAUGCGUAGAUAUUAGGAGGAACACCAGUGGCGAAGGCGGCCUGCUGGACGGUGACUGACGCUGAGGCUCGAAAGCGUGGGGAGCAAACAGG
rnacentral:rRNA from 1 species